GCAAACUUGGUCAUUUAGAGGAAGUAAAAGUCGUAACAAGGUUUCCGUAGGUGAACCUGCGGAAGGAUCAUUAAUGAGUUUAAUCAUUGGGGCUUGUAGCCAUGUGUGCUCGCUCCUUAAACCAUCCAAACACCUGUGCACCUAGAGGGGGUUAUCCCCUUUGAUUUUUUAUACACCUCUUACUAUAAUAAUGAACGUGCAAUUAGUGCCGCAAGGCCUUAAUAAAAACAUUACAACUUUUAACAACGGAUCUCUUGGCUCUCGCAUCGAUGAAGAACGCAGC
rnacentral:misc_RNA from 1 species